GGGGGUGAUCAGGAAUUCUGAGAUUUGUAAGCGCUGCUUUCUUUAACGGAAAUUGAGCCCUAUUUUGAGGGAAAUUAGUUUUGCAGACUUCGUUUAAAAAAAAAAAAAAAAAAAGCUAAAACUUUUGUUCACCAGCUGCUCAGCUUUUCAGUCUGGGUCUGAGCUGGAACCUGCUGCAAGCGUUUGCCGCGGUUUAGAGAAAGCGAGCGACUGAGAAGUGAAUGGGUAUGAAUUUAACCAGUGUGUUGCAAGGAACCGGCAACUAGCAAAAACACAAACUUUUCAUCUCCAGCAACUGCCACUUUUCCGUGAACCUGCUCAGGACUUGGCUUUUUUUCUCACUCCCUGUGUCAGAUGUUGACAACAUGUCCUGAAGUUUCUGUACAACCUGCCCUGAGUCCGCCAGCCUCUGGGACUGUGGGAAAGAAAAGUCAGAUGGUGGAAAGGGCAGGAGCUUCUCUGAAGGGCACACAAUUAAAACAAAGCCCCCAGGAAUAGUCUUUUUAAUUGAAGAUCCAAGACGUAUAAUGUCAGUAAAAAUUAUGAUGUCCAGAUUUCUAAGAGAAAGCAUCAUAUAAAGAAAAUGUUAUUUGGCAGAGAAAAAAGUGUGAUUCUAAAAGAAAGGAGUGAAAAAGGGGGUCCUGACAUAUUCCAGAACUAAAUAUGACUUUUUUCUCUGAAUUUUCAAAUAUAUAUAAACUAUUCCAUUAAGUUGUUUUCAAAAUUUUCAUAUCUUAGAAUAUUUGGAGUAAGAGAAAAUAUCGAUUUUUAUUUUCUAGGCCACAGAGAAUGUUCUGAAAAACAUAAUAACAGGAAAAAUCCCUAGCAUUUCCUACAAUAGCUACUUUAGUGUUCCUAUCAACAAGAUCUGACGUUGAAAGUCGACUUUGUACCUCUUCUCAUAUUGUAAGAAUGGUAAAAGCUGCAAAACUUAUUACAGAUUUUACAUGGCAUUUAGUUUAAACUAUAUGUACCACGGCGAUUAUCUUAUGUACAGUAUUCUUGAAUCUUCCUGAAAAAGUGUUCUGUUAGUACAGCAUGUUAUGCAAGGUUGAUAUCGAGCCCCAUAUUAUAAAUGGAGGUUGAAUAUAUAAAAAAUGUAAGCUCCUCAUCUUUUGUAGGAAAUGUAAUCAAAAUUAUUUUAAGUAUGUGCUCUUUAAAUUUGAUAAAUGUGUAUAUGUAGUAUUAUUUCUGUUUAAAUGAAGUGAUAAUAGUAAAAGCAGAGAGUUCUUAAAUUAAAAUUAUUUUCUUUUAAAGGUACUAGAACUUAAACAAUCUGGAAAUGUUAUGUUUACAUUUUAAGCAUCAUGAUAAUUCCUUCAGUACAUUUGUGAUGUGAGGUUUGAUGGGAAUAAAAAUAUUUAAAAUUAAAUGUGACCAUUAGCUACAGAUACUGUAAACUUCACUUUGCAUUUUACCUGGUAGAUAAAUUUACCUUGGUAACUUAUAGUUAUAUUAUGUGAAUUAAAAUAUGGAAAAUUAAAUUGAAACUGGAAUUAUCUCUGAAGGUUUUGUUGAGGAUGGAAAUAUUUCUGCUAUAUUUCUCUAGGAAAUAACUUAUGUCUAGCGGUUGUUUGUUAAGAAAUAAAGAAUUUUGACAAUAUAUUAAAA